AUAUGCCACAACAAUUUGGUGCAGUCCGGAAAUUUAAUCUUGCAGUUGGUUCCUAUCUUGGGUAUGUACUCUGAUAACUACUUUGUGAAACUGCCUAGAAGGGUCAGUGGAUAUUCUGGUUUGGAUUGGGUGCAGGAGACACUAGCCCGAGAUACCCAAUGCUACAACAUGUUUAGGGUUGAGAGACCUUUGUUUAACAGGCUACAUAAUACUUUGGUGCAAUCAUAUGGGUUGAAGUCCAGUAGAAAAAUGACAUCUGUAGAGGCUCUAGCUAUGUUUUUAUGGAUUGUUGGAUCACCACAGUCAGUUAGACAGGCUGAGAACCGUUUUAGGAGGUCUAUGGAGACAGUAAGUAGGACAUUUAACAGAGUUUUGGCAUGCCUCCUUAGGUUAGCACAGGACAUAAUUGUACCCAAGGACCCAACAUUUGCAGAGGUGCACCCAAACUUAGAAAAUCCAGCAUUCUGGCCACACUUCAAUGACUGCAUAGGAGCUAUAGAUGGGACACAUGUGAAGGUUGUGGUGGAUAAGAGUAAGAGGGUUCAAUACUUGAACAGGCACAAUGAAACCAGUCAGAAUGUGCUUGCUGUUUGUGAUUUCGACAUGAGAUUUACAUUUGUGAUGUCGGGAUGGCCUGAUUCAGCACACGACAUGAGAGUUUUCAAAGAUGCCAUAACUACUCAUCGUCACAAAUUUCCACAUCCACCACCAGGAAAGUAUUAUGUGGUUGAUGCGGGGUACCCAAACCGUCCGGGCUACCUUUCACCAUACAGAUGU
rnacentral:rRNA from 1 species